rnacentral:rRNA from 1 species
UCCAGACUCCUACGGGAGGCAGCAGUGGGGAAUAUUGCACAAUGGGGGAAACCCUGAUGCAGCGACGCCGCGUGAAGGAAGAAGUAUUUCGGUAUGUAAACUUCUAUCAGCAGGGAAGAAAAUGACGGUACCUGACUAAGAAGCCCCGGCUAACUACGUGCCAGCAGCCGCGGUAAUACGUAGGGGGCAAGCGUUAUCCGGAUUCACUGGGUGUAAAGGGAGCGUAGACGGCCAUGCAAGCCUGGAGUGAAAGCCCGGGGCCCAACCCCGGGACUGCUCUGGGAACUGUGCGGCUGGAGUGCGGGAGGGGCAGGCGGAAUUCCUGGUGUAGCGGUGAAAUGCGUAGAUAUUAGGAGGAACACCAGUUGCGAAGGCGGCUCUCUGGACUGUAACUGACACCGAGGCACGAAAGCGUGGGGAGCAAACAGGAUUAGAUACCCCCGUAAC